rnacentral:rRNA from 1 species
GACGAACGCUGGCGGCGUGCCUAACACAUGCAAGUCGAGCGGAGUCGAUCGACGGAAGCCUUCGGGCGGAAGAUGGUUGACUUAGCGGCGGAUGGGUGAGUAACGCGUGGGCAACCUGCCUCGAAGACCGGGAUAACAGCCCGAAAGGGCUGCUAAUACCGGAUGUGGUCAAGGAUCCGCAUGGAUUUUUGAUUAAAGGGGAAACCCGUUUCGAGAUGGGCCCGCGUCCUAUCAGCUAGUUGGUGAGGUAAAAGCUCACCAAGGCGACGACGGGUAGCCGGCCUGAGAGGGUGACCGGCCACACUGGAACUGAGACACGGUCCAGACUCCUACGGGGGCAGCAGUGGGAAUCUUCCACAAUGGGCGAAAGCCUGAUGGAGCGACGCCGCGUGAGCGAAGAAGGCCUUCGGGUGUAAACCCAGUCAUCAGGGAUGAAUAGGACAGUACCUGAAGAGGAAGCCCCGGCUAACUACGUGCCAGCCAGGCCCGCGGUAACUGCUACGUAGA